GGUUGCUUAUUUUUUUUGUUGCGGCUUCUACAGAUUUCUAUAAUAUAAAGAAACAUUUUUUGUAAUUAUAUAUUUUAUUAUUGAUAUUUUGGUCUAAAAAGAAAAAAAUUAUAAAUUAAAAUAGUUUUUUGACACGUACUAAAAGUAAUUUUUCGAAAAAGGACCAUUUUAGAACUUUCUGGAAGAAGCUAUUUUAACUUGUAAAGCUAAAACAGUUUUUAAUUUUUUAUUAAAUAUAUCUAUUUUAGCUAUUUUGAGGCGACGGUGGUCGGAGUUGGGAGGAGAAGAUGAGAGAAGAGAGGGUUCCGAUUUCCGAAGAGGAUUCACCGCCAGUCCUCGUACUUGUUUGUUCGUCCACCUCUCCCUCCUCCAAAUCCCAAUUCCCUAGAUCCUCGAUCGCUCCACCAAACCCUAGCUCUCCAACAUCCUCGCGCUCCAUGAGCGCCGAAGCCCCCAAGAAAGUCUCCAAGUACCUUCUCCUUGCAUCGAAAGGAGUCCGGGCUUCCCCACUUCGUCAAAUACGAUCGUCUUGGCAACGGUUGAAUCAUGGCAUGUAACGAUCCCACAGUUCUUUUUUCUCGACGUCGGAUUCUUCUUUCUCUGGUUUCUUGAUUUCCGUGAUCAUGUGUUCUUCCUAUCUUUGUUUCUUGAUAGAAUCUUUGACAAUGUUUUGAGUCGAGAACAGGGAUUUCCUCCUUGGAUCGAAAGGAGGUCGGUUUCCUCAUUUCGUCAAAUAUCUCAACUACGAUUUUGCCCAGGUAGUCAAUUAUCCCCGAUCAGGAACUGAACCUGUGCAAUUGAAAUUGCGGCACUGACGCUGAUGGCAUGAUUUUUGCAAUGUCGGGGACCAAAGUCAUGGGUUGUUCCAUGAGGGUCUUCGACUUAGAUGGCAGGUAGCCUGAGGAAUAACUCAAGCCUGUUGGGGUGGGGCUGGAACUUGUGCAGUUCUGUUCUGUUCUGUUAUUUCCUACGACUCUCCUUUUGGCCAGGGCGAGGACGCAAUGACUCCCAAACAUAUUUUGGAGGAUUACUGUGAGGCAUUAGGUCAGAGGGUGAACCUCCUCAAGUCAACUAUUUGUUUCAUUCCAAAGACCAAACUGCAGGUAAAGAAGGCCAUCAGGGAGCUCCUUGGCAUGAGGGAGCAGGAGGAGCCGUGGAGUUACCUAUGCGUCCCCAUCACCGGGAGAAAACUGCGGACGAUGGAGUGCCUUGGUAUGGUGCAAUGCAUCUAGGAGCAGUUGGAGGGGAGCUAUUUCAUUAUCCAUGAUGGGUAGGUUGACUUCGGUAAGAUCGGUUCUCAGCUUCAUACCAAUCUAUCUCAUGUUCAACACGGUUGUCCCGAAGACGGUGCUGUUGAAGAUUGAGCAAAUGCUUUGGAACUUCUUGUGGGGCUCGUAUGGUGGCGAACAUGGGGUGCACGUGCUGGCCUGGGGUACUGUUUACUAACCGGUUCAGGAAGGGGGGCUAAGUGUUCAGUCUCUGCUUAUGAAGAAAGAGGCAAUGAUCGCUAGACAUGCUGCGAGAUUGAUCUUUGAGCCUCAGUGCCUUUGGACUUAGGUGAUGACAAUCCGGUACACUCCGAGAACCGCAGAUGGGACAGUUUAGAGUAGUCGAAGAUGCUCCUUCAUAUGGAAGGAGAUCUGCAGGCAUGUUUUCACUGCUUUGGCUAACACCAGAUGGCUGAUUGGAGAUGGGCAUAGUGUGGAUGUUGUGAAGGACCCUUGGAUGGAUACUCUUCCAAUGAGGCUCAUGCCGAUCAUGGUUAAUGUUGAGGCCGUGGAUGGUUUGCGGGUUAGUGAUCUCCUCUGCCCUGACGGGGCAGGGUGGGAUUCCAGCUGGAUUGGCCAUCUAUUUGGAAAGCACCUUGCCGAGAGAGUGCAUUCGCUGGCGGUUUAUGGGUGUGCUGGCCCGAAUGUGAGGGUUUGGAGCAUGUCAUGUAGUCUUGGAAUUAGAGUGAGGAACAUCUACGACCUUCUUCAAAGUGAGUAGAGUCAGUGGUAGGACUGUGCCUGGAUUUUGAGGUUUGGUCUUCACCCGAGGGUUGCCUUAUUCUUUUGAAAGGUGACUUGGGGUCGGCUACCGACGAGGACUAUCCUGAGCAGGUGCGGAAUGAGCAUUCCACUGAUUUGCCCUAGGUGCGAGGUGGAGAAGAUCGUGGAUCACGUUCUGUUCCAGUGCAAUCGAGCUAUGCGGUUGUGGAGGCUUGUUGAUUCCCACCGAAUGCUCUGUGCCAGUCUGGCUCCUUCACCCAGGCGCUUAGAAGGUGGGCCGACAUACCUCAAACCCGAUAUAUGGCCAUCAAGGCAACUUAUACUGCUUACCAUAUUUGGUUGUUAAAGAAUGCCUGAAUUUUUGGAAAGAGCAGUUCUAUACCAAGGUUCGUUAUGCAGAGGGCUCGAGUGCAGGCUACGGAGAUCACCCAUGCUAACUAUCGAGCAGGCUGUUGACAACUCGGGGCACUUGAGACUCUAUCUCUGCUUUUAUAGCGUCUCAGACGAUGUACCUCACCUGGAAAACCUGAUCUUUGAGUUUUCUCAAGGUCAGCUUCGAUGGAUGUGUUUUGGAUGGUGGCAAAAAGGAUGGUGCGGAUUUCGUGAUCAGAAGCUCGGACUCUAGAGUGUUGACAACCGAAAGGUGCCCAAUCUUCGAUAUCUCGAUCUCAGGGGCGGAGUUGAGGGCAGCUUGGUUCGAUUUGUGUCAUGCUCAGUAUGUACUGCUGGCCAACAUAAUUCUGCUCGAAGGUGAUUCGGCUACAGUGAUUGGCUGGAUCAGGGGUGCACCGGUGAUAUUGGUGGCCGUCACCCCUUGCUCCGGAACAUCUGGGGCAUGGCAAGCAGUGACAUUACCUUCUGGGCCAAGCAUGUCUAUAGGAAGGCUAAUGAAGCUGCGGAUUAGUGGCUUUUUUUGUGGCUAAUCACUUCGGGGGGUUCUCUGGACUGGUGAGAGGGAGCUGCCUAGAGCACUCUGUGACGUUAUAUUUUGACCUUUUUGAAUGUAUUCAUACUAGACUUGUAUGAGUCGUCUGUUGUAGCAAAAAAAAGUGAUAUUCAAUCUAUUCAAGAACUUUUUUUCAAAAAAAAAAGGUCGUGUUAGCAAAUAUACAAUUUUACAACUAGGUCUGUGUGCUUAAUUUUAGCUUCAAACUUAUCUUAAAAUUAAGUAGCUAAAUGUUUCGACAAAUGAACUAGGAAGAACCCAGCCUAAUUAAUCCUUUUGGCUAUUUUGUGGGCCUUUUUACUUUGUCUAAUGCAACCAGUGUAACUGUGUUACUGAGGCAUGCACUUGCAUGCUUGCCUUUUUGUGCUAGAGCUGCCUUGAAACCAUUAUGUCAUUACGAAUUCUGAUUGUUCGAUUGUUCUCUAUAUUGCUUAUGUAUUCAACUUUAGAAAUGCAUAUGUAUGUAUGCGCACACAUGCAAAAACAUUUGACACAUGUUUAUGUAGUUUUGCUUUUUCUGGAAGUGCCAUCCAUUUGUGGAAGAUCUCCCUAGAUAAAGCUAAGAUUCUGGAUUUCACUAGCAUAAAUAUUAUAUUGGACUUUUUCCUACAAUAUUUUUUGUUUUCUAAUAUUUUUUGUUUCGCUGAUAUCAUAUCUAACUUAAAUGUCCAGCUCUGCUGCUGAAGUGGCAACAGAAUCUUUCAUAAAUCUGGAAAGAUGCUAUGUUUUCGGAAUUUUCAAGUGGCCAGAGUCACCCAGAUGAAGGAACCACCUGCAUUUAGGAUAUGCUCAUGUUGAUGUAUUAGGAUAACUAUCAAUAUCGAUAGCAUUCACAAAUAAAGCUAUGAUGCAUGCAGAUCGAUGGUGAGCAAGAAAAAAUAGUGCCAGUUCUGGCACACGCGCAAGAUGUUCGCAUGCAUUUAAAAUUUCUUUGGAUAUCGGUGCACGCAUCCACAAACAUGCCUAGAUUGGCAUAAUUGUGUGGGACUUGCAUGGUUUCUGUGUCAGCCACUUAUAAAAAAUGAUGGGAUAAUAUUGCUUUUUUGUUGUUUAGACCAAUGCAUCCACUUCAGUAACUUUACUGCAGUAUGGAAAAAUGAGGAUGCUUUUCAUUGUCGUAUACUAUGUUCAGGAUAUGUAUGAAUUUUCUUAACAAUUAAGGAGGAUUGUUCUGAGUAGCAUAAAUUUGUUAUCCAACAAGUCACAUGGGUCCUGCCUGCUACAUACCACCAUUAUCUUCUAUUCAUUAUUGUAAAGGAUAUUUGUGAAAAUGCUCAUCAGAUAAUCCUCUAACCUUAAAAGGAUCUUUUGAAUGCCAAAUGCUCUAGUCAGUACUUAAACGAAUUAUCUUGCCAACUAGAAAGAUAACUUGGAUCAGUCCUGUCCUUAAUAGAUUGUCACAAGGCUUGUGAUGUUUGUAAGUUGGUCGGACUUUUAAAAAAAUGUAUCUGUAUGCCAAUGAUGUGAUAUUUUAUCUUGUCUACAGAUUAAACAGGUUUUGUUAUCCUUCAAUAUCUUAUGCCUGACGUGAUCAACUUGUCUGUGAAUGUAACAGGUAUGAUAUCAAAUUCAGAUAAGAAUCUGGAAUAGUCCAACUCUCUUUUUUCCCUUGGAAGCUGCCGUAAGCAAUUCAGUGGACCAUCACUACCUUUGAGAGAAAUAGCAUAAGCAAGUACACGGACCACCAUGUUCACUUACCGGUCAUGCCAUUGUUUACCAUCAUUCCAUGUAUCUUCCUGGGUAUGGAUGAAGCUGCAUCUUUGAAGGUUUCAGCUAUUAUCUUAUCACGUAAUCUAUGCUUAUUAUAUAGUAGUCCGGAUUAAAGGUGGAGGGGACUAGGUUUUUCUCCCACCUAAACAUAAAAAAGAGUGUUAAAACAUUGUUAAAUUUGCUUACGAACCAUCAUCAUGCUGUUGUAAAGGAUUGUAACUUUAGAAACUCUCUUUUCAUGCAAAUCACGACUUUGCAGAGUCUUACUAUUGGUA